rnacentral:snRNA from 1 species
AUACUUACCUGGCAGGGGAGAUACCAUGAUCUUGAAGGUGGUUUUCCCAGGGCGAGGCUUAUCCGUUGCGCUCCCGAGUUGCUGACCCCUGCGGUUUUCCCCAAAUGUGGAAAACUGCGUUAGCGCUC